AUUACACCUCAGUUUUUUCCCAAAGAAUUCAAGCAUUCAAUAACGUUUAUGUAUUACAAGUGACAUCUUCUAAAAAACCGGAGCAAACAAGACGGGCGAACCGAAAAAUAGCUAAUGUCCACGAAACGGUGAACCGGAAUCGGACGGUUUAGUCGGACUACUCAACCACCAUGCUCCUCACUGAACUCCAUCUCUUAUCCUUCUUCUCUUCUGCUGAUCUUCGUUCCCUCCUCCUGCAGUCUGUCGCCGGGACACGUCCCUCAGUCAGCCGGUGCCGUCCUUUCACUGAUUAAAUUUGCCGCCCGCUACUUUUUUCUUUUUUGGAGUAGGUCGCAGAGGCAGAGGUAGAGGGAGAAGGACUGAAAUUGGAGUCGGUGGUGAGGAAGAGGAACAGAGUGGCGGUGGCAAAAGUGCGGUCCUGUAGCUGUGCCGCUUGAAGCAGUGGCGAAGAGAAGUUCAAUUGGACGGAAGCCAUUUCUUUAUUUUUAUUUCCUUAAAUAAAAAAUAAACUUGUCACAUCAAAUCAACGUCAAGAAUUCAUUUUAAUAAAGCAAUCCAAUUUCAGCAACGAAACAUAGGUAAAAGCCUAAGCCACAACUCGGAUUGGAUAUUUUAUUAUUUUCAAUUCUCUACAAUUCCGUUCCGUGUUCCAAGAUAAGAACUUGCUUGUGUUCCGUUUUUGAGCUGCGCGCUUCAAAUUCACUUGAAUACUGCCAAGUGCCAAGUAAAAGUUUACUAUAUUGUAACUAAUAAUUACUCAUUUUUUUUCUUCU